AUUGAACGCUGGCGGCAGGCUUAACACAUGCAAGUCGAGCGGAGAGAGGUAGCUUGCUACUGAUCUUAGCGGCGGACGGGUGAGUAAUGCUUAGGAAUCUGCUUAUUAGUGGGGGACAACAUUUCGAAGGGAAUGCUAAUACCGCAUACGUCCUACGGGAGAAAGCAGGGGAUCUUCGGACCUUGCGCUAAUAGAUGAGCCUCAGUCGGAUUAGCUAGUUGGUGGGGUAAAGGCCUACAAAGGCGACGAUCUGUAGCGGGUCUGAGAGGAUGGUCCGCCACCCUGGGACUGAGACACGGCCCAGACUCCUACGGGAGGCAGCCGUUGGGAAAAUUUGACAAUGGGCGCAAGCCUGAUCCAGCCAAGCCGGGUGUUUGAAGAAGGGCUUAUGGUUGUAAAGCACUUUAAGCGAGGAGGGGGCUACUUUAGAUAAUACCUAGGGAUAGUGGACGUUACUCGCAGAAUAAGCACCGGCUAACUCUGUGCCAGCCGCCGCCGUAACAC
rnacentral:rRNA from 1 species